UGACCCCAAACCAGGGGGAACUACCCGCUGAAUUUAACCUAACCUAAAGGGGGAGGAA
rnacentral:rRNA from 1 species